rfam:Ictidomys tridecemlineatus contig013278, whole genome shotgun sequence.
AGUUGUGUAGCUUAGUGGUAGAGCAUGUGCCUAGCAUGUGUGAGGCACUGGGUUCAAUCCUCAGCACCACAU